UUGCACAUCCUCCUUGACAUCCUAAUAGACUGAGUGUCGGUCAGGCUCCUUUUACCUCACCUGAGAAGCCAGUCACUCUUGGGGAAUAUCUAAAGCAGCUGUCCCGCCACAAGAACUUUAUGUGGUUUGUUUCUAUGAACCUUGUUCAGGUAUUCCACUGCCAUUUCAACAGCAAUUUCUUUCCUCUGUUUUUGGAGCACCUCCUGUCAGACCGUAUCUCUGCUUCCACCGGCUCCUUUCUGCUGGGCAUUUCUUACAUUG